CGCGGCCUAUCAGCUUGUUGGUGAGGUAACGGCUCACCAAGGCAUCGACGGGUAGCUGGUCUGAGAGGACGAUCAGCCACACUGGGACUGAGACACGGCCCAGACUCCUACGGGAGGCAGCAGUAGGGAAUCUUGCGCAAUGGGCGCAAGCCUGAUGCAGCAACGCCGCGUGCGGGAAGACGGCCCUAGGGUUGUAAACCGCUUUCAGGAGGGAAGAAAAUGACGGUACCUCCAGAAGAAGGUGCGGCCAACUACGUGCCAGCAGCCGCGGUGACACGUAGGCACCAAGCGUUAUCCGGAUUUAUUGGGCGUAAAGAGCUCGUAGGCGGUUCGGUAAGUCGGGUGUGAAAAUCCAAGGCUCAACCUUGGGACGCCACCCGAUACCGCUGUGACUCGAGUGCAGUAGGGGAGCAGGGAAUUCCUGGUGUAGCGGUGAAAUGCGCAGAUAUCAGGAGGAACACCAAUGGCGAAGGCACAUCUCUGGGCCGUAACUGACGCUGAGGAGCGAAAGCGUGGGGAGCGAACAGGAUUAGAUACCCUGGUAGUCCACGCCGUAAACGGUGGGUGCUAGCUGUGGGCCACAUUCCACGUGGUCCGUGACGAAGUUAACACAUUAAGCACCCCGCCUGGGGAGUACGG
rnacentral:rRNA from 1 species